rnacentral:rRNA from 1 species
GUGCCAGCCGCCGCGGUAACACGUAGGCACCAAGCGUUAUCCGGAUUUAUUGGGCGUAAAGAGCUCGUAGGCGGUUUGGUAAGUCGGGUGUGAAAACUCUGGGCUCAACCCAGAGAGGCCACCCGAUACUGCUAUGACUAGAGUACGGUAGGGGAGCGGGGAAUUCAUGGUGUAGCGGUGAAAUGCGCAGAUAUCAUGAGGAACACCAGCGGCGAAGGCGCCGCUCUGGGCCGUAACUGACGCUGAGGAGCGAAAGCAUGGGUAGCAAACAGGAUUAGAAACCCUUGUAGUCC